rnacentral:sRNA from 1 species
UAGAAAAAUAAUUUCACCGAACAUGAUUAGAUAGUAGGACUAGAUGGUAGGACGUGUUUAUAAUAUUAUAAUAUAUAAACUUUAUAAUAAUUAAAUAACCAUUUGAAAAAAAACUUUUAAAUUGAUUUGAAUUAAAUAUUUUUUAAACUAAAGUAUUAUUAAAACAAAAAUAACAAAAUAAUGUCUAAUUUUACUGAACGGGGUUAGUGGUAGGACGGGUUUGGUCGAUAGUAUUAUGAGACGGUAUACCACAAGUGAAAUCUAUUAGAUAUGUUUAAUUUCAAUGUGCAGGAUUAGAUGGUAUGACGAGUUUUGAUCGAUAAUAAUACGAAACGAUAUACUACGGAUGAAAUCCUAGAUAUAACAACUAAAAUCUAUAUAUACAUUAUCUUAAACACUAAACAAAGCAAACAAUAUUAAUAAAACAAAUAUUUACAUAUACAUUUUAUAUAACAAAUUUUAUUAAAAACCUAGCCCCGCGGUAUACCGCGGGUCAAAAUCUAGUUAAUACUUUAUGGUCUACAGUCAGACUAACACAAAGACCAGCAAGUUCUGUUCUUCAUUAAGUUGUAAUUAGUUCU